UAGGGAAUAUUGCGCAAUGGAGGAAACUCUGACGCAGCGACGCCGCGUGAGCGAUGAAGGACUUCGGUUCGUAAAGCUCUGUCGCAAGGGAAAAUUUAGAUUGUACCUUGUAAGAAAGGAUCGGCUAACUUCGUGCCAGCAGCCGCGGUAAGACGAGGGAUCCUAGCGUUGUUCGGAAUCAUUGGGCGUAAAGCGGAUGUAGGUUGGCUUGUAAGUCAGAUGUGAAAGCCCUGGGCUCAACCCAGGAAGUGCAUUUGAUACUGCUUGCCUUGAGUGUGGGAUAGAUUGGCGGAAUUCUUGGUGUAGUGGUGAAAUACGUAGAUAUCAAGAAGAACAUCAGAGGCGAAGGCGGCUAAUUGGCCCAACACUGACACUAAGAUCCGAAAGCGUGGGGAUCAAA
rnacentral:rRNA from 1 species